UGCAGUCGAACGGGAUUUAAGAUAGCAAUAUUUUGAUGAGAGUGGCGCACGGGUGCGUAACACGUAUGCAACCUACCUUUAACUGGUGAAUAGCCCCGGGAAAUCGGGAUUAAUACACCAUAACAUUACGGAAUGGCAUCAUUCUGCAAUUAAAGAUAUUCGGUUAGAGAUGGACAUGCGGGACAUUAGCUGGUUGGUGAGGUAACGGCUCACCAAGGCAACGAUGUCUAGGGGUCCUGAGAGGGUUUUCCCCCACACUGGUACUGAGACACGGACCAGACUCCUACGGGAGGCAGCAGUAAGGAAUAUUGGUCAAUGGGCGCAAGCCUGAACCAGCCAUGCCGCGUGCAGGAAGACGGCCCUAUGGGUUGUAAACUGCUUUUGUCAGGGAAUAAAUGUAGGUACGUGUACUUACUUGAAGGUACCUGAAGAAUAAGCAUCGGCUAACUCCGUGCCAGCAGCCGCGGUAAUACGGAGGAUGCAAGCGUUAUCCGGAUUCAUUGGGUUUAAAGGGUGCGCAGGCGGAUUGGUAAGUCAGGGGUGAAAUCCCACAGCUCAACUGUGGAACUGCCUUUGAUACUGUCAGUCUAGAGUAUAGUUGAAGUUGGCGGAAUGUGUCAUGUAGCGGUGAAAUGCU
rnacentral:rRNA from 1 species